CCUCUCCUAUGAAGACGGGCUGAGAGAGUUGGAGUUGUUCAUCCUUGAGCAGAGAAGGCUUCAGGGAGACCUUAAAGCAACCUUU